rnacentral:rRNA from 1 species
AGCUCGAUGAGUAGGGCGGGACACGUGGUAUCCUGUCUGAAUAUGGGGGGCCCAUCCUCCAAGGCUAAAUACUCCUGACUGACCGAUAGUGAACCAGUACCGUGAGGGAAAGGCGAAAAGAACCCCGGCGAGGGGAGUGAAAAAGAACCUGAAACCGUGUACGUACAAGCAGUGGGAGCACGCUUAGGCGUGUGACUGCGUACCUUUUGUAUAAUGGGUCAGCGACUUAUAUUCUGUAGCAAGGUUAACCGAAUAGGGGAGCCGAAGGGAAACCGAGUCUUAACUGGGCGUUAAGUUGCAGGGUAUAGACCCGAAACCCGGUGAUCUAGCCAUGGGCAGGUUGAAGGUUGGGUAACACUAACUGGAGGACCGAACCGACUAAUGUUGAAAAAUUAGCGGAUGACUUGUGGCUGGGGGUGAAAGGCCAAUCAAACCGGGAGAUAGCUGGUUCUCCCCGAAAGCUAUUUAGGUAGCGCCUCGUGAAUUCAUCUCCGGGGGUAGAGCACUGUUUCGGCAAGGGGGUCAUCCCGACUUACCAACCCGAUGCAAACUGCGAAUACCGGAGAAUGUUAUCACGGGAGACACACGGCGGGUGCUAACGUCCGUCGUGAAGAGGGAAACAACCCAGACCGCCAGCUAAGGUCCCAAAGUCAUGGUUAAGUGGGAAACGAUGUGGGAAGGCCCAGACAGCCAGGAUGUUGGCUUAGAAGCAGCCAUCAUUUAAAGAAAGCGUAAUAGCUCACUGGUCGAGUCGGCCUGCGCGGAAGAUGUAACGGGGCUAAACCAU